GUUGCGAAAUGUUGUAAAAUGUGGAUAAUAUAGCCUUGCAAAGUUUGCCGUUUUUCAGUCAUUUUGUAUUACAAACGGGAAAUUGACAGACCCAAAGGGUAUUGGUCUGUCAAUUUCCCUUGCGCAUGCGUAAUGAAAAAAAACUGAAAAACGACAAACUUCGCAAGGCUAUAUUUGCCGCCCUUUUACAACAUUUCGCAAC